rnacentral:rRNA from 1 species
GUCGAACGGCUUUUCUAUGGAAGCUUGCUUCCACUGAGAAGAUAGUGGCGAACGGGUGAGUAACACGUGGGUAACCUGCCCAUAAGAGGGGGGAUAACAUCCGGAAACGGGUGCUAAUACCGCAUAGUUUUCUUGAUCGCAUGAUCGGGAAAGGAAAGACGGCCUUUGUGCUGUCGCUUAUGGAUGGACCCGCGGCGUAUUAGUUAGUUGGUGAGGUAACGGCUCACCAAGACGAUGAUACGUAGCCGACCUGAGAGGGUGAUCGGCCACAUUGGGACUGAGACACGGCCCAAACUCCUACGGGAGGCAGCAGUAGGGAAUCUUCCGCAAUGGACGAAAGUCUGACGGAGCAACGCCGCGUGAGUGAAAGAAGGUUUUCGGAUCGUAAAACUCUGUUGUCAGAGAAGAACAAGUUGGAGAGUAACUGCUCCAGCCUUGACGGUAUCUGACCAGAAAGCCACGGCUAACUACGUGCCAGCCGCCGC